GACGAACGCUGGCGGUGUGCUUAACACAUGCAAGUCGAACGGAAAGGCCCUGCUUUUGUGGGCUGCUCGAGUGGCGAACGGGUGAGUGACACGUGAGUAACCGGCCCUUGUCUUUGGGAUAACUUAAGGAAACUGGGGCUAAUACCGGAUAGGAGCUCCUGCUGCAUGGUGGGGGUUGGAAAGUCUCGGCGGGUGGGGAUGGACGCGCGGCUGAUCAGCUAGUUGGUGGGGUAGCGGCUUACCCAGUCUGUGACGGGUCGCCGGCCUGAGAGGGUGGCCGGCCACCAGAGGACUGAGAGACGGCCCAGACUCCUACGUGAGGCAGCAGUGGGAAGUAUGGCCCAAUGGGCGGAAGCCUGAUGCGGCAACGCCCCGGUCGGGAUGACGGCCUUCGGGUUAUAAACCGCUUUCGCCUGUGACGACGCGUGAGUGACGGUAAUGGGUAAAGAAGCACCGGCUAACUACGUG
rnacentral:rRNA from 1 species